rnacentral:rRNA from 1 species
UGGCAGGUCAGCAUACUGCCGUGAAUACGUUCCCGGGCCUUGUACACACCGCCCGUCACACCAUGAGAGUUGGAAAUACCCGAAGCCUGUGAGCUAACUGUAAAGAGGCAGCAGUCGAAGGUAGAGCCAAUGAUUGGGGUGAAGUCGUAACAAGGUAGC